rnacentral:rRNA from 1 species
GGGGGGGGCAAGCGUUGUUCGGAAUUACUGGGCGUAAAGGGCUCGUAGGCGGCCAACUAAGUCAGACGUGAAAUCCCUCGGCUUAACCGGGGAACUGCGUCUGAUACUGGAUGGCUGGAGUUUGGGAGAGGGAUGCGGAAUUCCAGGUGUAGCGGUGAAAUGCGUAGAUAUCUGGAGGAACACCGGUGGCGAAGGCGGCAUCCUGGACCAAUACUGACGCUGAGGAGCGAAAGCCAGGGGAGCAAACGGGAUUAGAUACCCCGGUAGUCCUGGCCCUAAACGAUGAAUGCUUGGUGUGGCGGGUAUCGAUCCCUGCCGUGCCGAAGCUAACGCAUUAAGCAUUCCGCCUGGGGAGUACGGUCGCAAGGCUG